rnacentral:misc_RNA from 1 species
UCCGGCUUAUCACCGGCAGUUUCUUUAGAGUGCCCAACUAAAUGGUAGCAACUAAAGACGAGGGUUGCGCUCGUUGCGGGACUUAACCCAACAUCUCACGACACGAGCUGACGACAGCCAUGCAGCACCUGUGUGUAGGUCCCGUAAGGGAAGGAAUCCAUCUCUGGAAACCGUCCUACCAUGUCAAACGCUGGUAAGGUGGGGAUGACGUAGUGGAAGCAAGCU